GCGCCUGCCCACUCCCUACAGCUUCCUGGCGCCCUGCAAUUGAGUUUUGCCUUUAUAAACUCCUGACUAAUGGAAUUCGGGGGCCAUUCUCUGAGCUUGAGUCUCAGGAAUGGUCUUGGCCAGUAUAUUUUUUUAAUUAAUUUAUUUAUAAUAUAUACAGCAUUCUGCCUACAUGUAUGCCUGCAAGCCAGAAGACUUCAAUAUAGAUAGUUAUGAGCCACCAUGUGGUUGCUGGGAAUUGAAAUCAGGACGUCUGGAGAAAUAGCCAAUGCUCUUAACCUCUGAGUCAUCUCUCCAGCUCCCCGAGUCGCAUGUCUCUGAUGGAAGGAUGCUGUGAUGCUGUGAGCCAGCUGUGGUCAGCUUACUGAAGCUGCAAUUGGGCUGAAGACCUCACAGCCUCUGGGGAAUCACGUUUUAGCUUCCGAGGCAAAACAAAUUAAGGCAGCUCCAGCCAGAAGCCCUGGUGCCGCUCCUCCACACGAUGAAGGAAAGGUUACAGGUCCUGGGAGAGGACCAUAGCCUCACCACCCACCCAGACACAAACAAACUGUAGCCCCCUUGAGCCUGGGGUUUUCUCCUGUGAAAUGACCAGGAUGCAAAGGCCAACUUGCACUGUAACCAUGGAGACCAAGGAGAAUUUUGGACUUGAAAGCUAUUGAUUUGAGCAGUGGCUUAUUAAGAAUCCUGUGGGAAUCAGGCAGGCCCCUAGGAAGGCUACUGGGGGAAUGGUGUCCUGCUCACCAGACAGUUUCUGUUCUCUUGAAAUUCCACAGGGGUCCUGAGUGGAACCUCAGUGCCCACAGGCCAGGCAAAGGACCUGCCCCCACCAGCCCAUCGACCAAAGGGGCCUGCCUUAGGUAUUUCUGUAUUGUGGUGAUAAGACAGCAUGACCAAGGCAACUUAGAGUUUAUUUGGGGCUCACAAUUUCAGAGAGUGAGUUCACGACCAUCAUGAUGGGGAACAUGGCACUUGAUAAGCAGGUACUGGAGCCGCAGCCACGAGCUCACAUCUUGAUCCACAAGCAUGAGACCGAGAGAGUUAACUGGGAUUGUUGUGGGCUUUACACCUCCUUCAACAAGAGUCACAUGUCCUAAUCCUUCCCAAACAGUGCUGCCAACUGGGGACCAAGCAUCCCAACAUAUGAGCCUAUGGGAGCCAGUAUCCUUCAAACCAGCACAGGGCCGAUUUCCAGAAACCUAUCUGUCCUGUAAUGGAUUCAGUAAUCAGGCCCUGCUGGAGUUACCAAGAAGAUAUCUCAAACCAAUGAAGAAAGCAAAGAUUAAGCUGGCCCAUCCAUCCAUCCAUCAUGCCUGCCCUGAAACAAUGAGGGCUACCAGCCUAGUUCUGUCCAUGAAGCAAGCUGUGCCCAGGAAGGUUGAGCCCCUUGCCACAGUCUCUAGGAGUCUCAAGGUCUAGGAGUCUCAAGGUCUAUCACAGGAAAAGUGGUUCUCAAGAGGCUGAGCAUACACUUAACAUGCACAAUUGCCGUUCCAUCCCCAGAAUGACCACAACGAAAAGCCUUCUCUCAGCCAGGUGUGGCAGUGUGUGCCUGUAAUCCGGUGCCAGGGAGGAGACAGGCCAGCCAGCCUAGCCUCAACAAUGAGCGUCAGGUGUAAUGAAGUACUGAAUCCACUGCUAACGACCUACGGCUGUACCCUUAGAUUAGUGAAUCUCUUGGCCCUCAUCUUUUGCAGCAAAUGGCAAUUAACACAGAGACCCAGGACUGGCUAAGGAGUAGAGAAUAGAAGAAUGUGGAGUGCUGAGCCCUAACUGGAUCAUCUGUAUCACAACCCAUCCUCCCAAGGCUCACACAUUUCAGAAGAGGGAGUAGAGGCUUGUAAGAGCCAGAGGCGCUGGGUGACCAUAGGGAGAGAGCAUUUUCUGCACACAACAGGGCCGGUGCAUGUAUGAACUCACGUGGUUGUGACAGCAUGCGAGAGACUUGCUCAUGCUCGACAAAUCCCAGCUUGGAGACGGAGACAAGCCUUGCAAUUGAAGGCAGCCAGGAGAGGGGCAGCCGGCUUUAAGCGUGUGACCCCUGGUGAGGGGAUAACACUGCAGGAGGUGGCCCCACCUAAGGGUAUUUGGGUAGCACAAAUUAGACUUUUAAAUUUUAAAAAGAGGGCACAUAGUUGAGUGGAUCUGGGAGGAGUCAGGGGAGGGGAGGUAAAAAUAAUCAGAAUACAUCACAUGAACUUCACAAAGAAUAAACACAGUGUUCAAACUG
rnacentral:lncRNA from 1 species